UACGUAGGGUGCGAGCGUUGUCCGGAAUUAUUGGGCGUAAAGGGCUCGUAGGCGGUCUGUCGCGUCGGGAGUGAAAAACUCAGGGCUUAACCCUGAGCCUGCUUCCGAUACGGGCAGACUAGAGGUAUGCAGGGGGAGAACGGAAUUCCUGGUGUAGCGGUGGAAUGCGCAGGAUAUCAGGAGGAACACCGGUGGCGAAGGCGGUUCUCUGGGCAUUACCUGACGCUGAGGAGCGAAAGUGUGGGGAGCGAACAGG
rnacentral:rRNA from 1 species